rnacentral:rRNA from 1 species
GACGAACGCUGGCGGCGUGCUUAACACAUGCAAGUCGAACGGAAAGGCCCUGCUUUUGUGGGGUGCUCGAGUGGCGAACGGGUGAGUAACACGUGAGUAACCUGCCCUUGACUUUGGGAUAACUUCAGGAAACUGGGGCUAAUACCGGAUAGGAGCUCCUGCUGCAUGGUGGGGGUUGGAAAGUUUCGGUGGUUGGGGUGGACUCGCGGCUUAUCAGCUUGUUGGUGGGGUAGUGGCUUACCAAGGCUUUGACGGGUAGCCGGCCUGAGAGGGUGACCGGCCACAUUGGGACUGAGAUACGGCCCAGACUCCUACGGGAGGCAGCAGUGGGGAAUAUUGCACAAUGGGCGGAAGCCUGAUGCAGCAACGCCGCGUGCGGGAUGACGGCCUUCGGGUUGUAAACCGCUUUCGCCUGUGACGAAGCGUGAGUGACGGUAAUGGGUAAAGAAGCACCGGCUAACUACGUG